GCCGAAGUGGUGGAAUUUGGUAGACACGCUAUCUUGAGGGGGUAGUGGCCGACGGCCGUGCGGGUUCAAAUCCCGCCUUCGGCACCA
rnacentral:tRNA from 1 species